CGGCGCCCCAGGCGGCGGCCCAGCUGCCCCGCCGCAGCCACCUGCUCGCGCACCCCCGGCCCGGAUCGAUACCAAAUAGCCGGCGCCCGGAAAUGGACCCGGGCCGGCCAGUACGGAGGGAGAGAGGAGACAGAAAGUCCAUUGUCUCUGUUUCUCUGUCAUGCUCCGCCCUGGAAGGCUGACAUGAAUACAUCACCAGGCUUCCUUGCCCUGUAGCUUCCUGGAAGGCUGACAUGAAUACAUCACCAGGCUUCCUUGCCCUGUAGCUUCCUGUUGAGUUGGACCAGUACAAAGCAUUGGCAGAAAAUCAAAAGGAGGGAGAAAGGAAAUAUCAGGCUAAAGACUACUAAAAACAAUUACGUAUGGAGAGAGGUCUUAAUUAAAAGGAGAUCUUCAACCUGGAAGAGAUUGGAAUCCACUCUUAAAGGAUGAGCCACACAGCCAGGUUUUCUGCAUGAGACACAUAAUUUAGGAAACUUCUUUUCUACAUGUUAUUUUUCCUAUGAAACCUGUAACUAGAAGGGCAGGGCUAUAAAUUCAAAUUGGGAGAAGGAAAAAGAAUGAAUUUUUGCAGCUCAAGCUGUCAGCAAUGUGAUAAUCUUAGAAGAGUCUUGGGUAAACACAUCUAGGGAAUCCCUGUCCUAUAACACAUUUGUGAGAUUUCUCAAUAUUUUGCUUGGCUCUCUGUGGAGAAUGCUGGAAGUCUGAAAGGCAUUCAGUGCUAGAGAGAGCUGUACUGAAAGUAUAAAAGUAUAAAUGAGAAGUAUACACAUUGAGUACAGUGGCUGCCUCUGAGUGGGAGGGACAGUAAGACAGAAUGUGGGAAAAUGUGUCAUAGAUUACAUUUGCAGAAAUGACCACAACAUCGGUUCCUAUCACAUGUGGCCUCCUGCAAUAUGACAUUGUGACCCUUCAUCAAAAUGGAGGCAUUAAGAAUGUUAGGCAACUUCUGUUUUUAUGCUCUGAAAGAAGUCAGUUGCUUUGAAGGAUAUCUGACUAUCCUAAUAUUUCUAUGUUGUGAGAAGCUCAACUUGCCAUGUGGAGAGGCUAUGUGGAAGGGAACCAAUACCCCCAGGCAACAUCCCCAGUGGAGCUCCCAGUUGACAACUAACACCAAGAUGAUUGCCAAGCAUUUUGGAAAUGGAUCUUCAAAAGCCAAUUGAGACAUUCCAAGUGAAUCCAUGUGGGAAAGAAAUAAGCUGUCCUUGCCCAAUUUGUGGAAUAGUAAACAAAUAAGUGAAUGUUAUUGUUUAAAUCUAAUAAGCUAUAGAGUGGUAUAUUAUGCAGCAAUAGAUAACCGAAAGAGUAUGUUUUAACUAAAUCUGUAAAGUUUCGAUUCUUUGAGAAAAGAUCACAUAGUGGAGACAAAUAUGGGAAAAUACUGACCACGAAUCUGAAUGUGAUGCAUUGGUGACUAUUACAUUUUCUAGUUUUUUCCUUUACAUAGGAAAUAUUACAUAUUUCAUAAUUCAAAAUUUAAAAACGUAUUUAGACUUGCUCUUCUGGCUAGGAUAGAGUAAAUAGUUCCAAAGGUGUCCUCCCUCCAUAAACAAUGAUAAAGCUGGAGAAAUAGGUGGCAAUUGUUUUCAAGUACAGGGCAUUAGGUAGAAUGAUCCCUGAGAGAAGAUGACUGCAUGAAGUGAGCCUCUCAUGCCCUUGCCAAUGCUGGAGAUUGGUACAAUUGUCCAACUUUUAUACAGGGAGUGGGGUCCAAGCAGAGUCUCUCUGGGGAGGUAGUGCUGCUGACACAAUCAGAACUUGUAGGGUAGGGUACUGAAGAAGAGGAUGCUGCACACAGGAGUUCCCAAGUCCUUGGUCAAAGGCUGAGUUGUGUAUACUCAAGAUGAAACACUAUGAGGCCUAACAGAGAGCAGCAUCCACAAAGAAGAUAACGGAAUAGUGAUUCUAGAGGUCACUGGUUGUUGGGAAAAGUUAGAUCAAAGACCUACUUAGAGUGAAGAGAUCUCAUCAGCACACCUGGCAUUCAGAUAAGAUAGUGAAGAGGCCAUAAAUUAUAUGGACAGCCUACUUGCAAAGGCUGUUCUGGAGCUAACCUAUCAAAGCCUAAAACCAAGCUUUGACAGAAGGAAGAAGAGCUUCUAGGAAAUAGCUAUGUGCCAGCUCAAAACUCAGCAAUCAUUAAAAAAAAGGGCAAUCUAAUCCAGACUCUUUACAAUGUAUCUUUCACAACGUCCACUAAAAGUUACUAGAUGUACAAAGUAGUAGGAAAAUGUGGUGAAUAAUCAAGAAAAAAGCAAUCGGUUAACACAGAUGCCAAGAUGACCCAGAUGUUGGAAUUAGCAGGCAAGGAUAUAAAGAGGCUAUUACUAUCAGUUAUUAUAAAUAUUUUUAAGGACUUAAAGCAAAAUAUAUGGUUAUAAAGAAUGAACAGCUGGGGAAUCUAUUAGAGAAUAGAAACUAUACAAAAAUCAGUGAACAGAUAUAGAGUUUUAGCAGAUAAAAAGUAAGAAACAAGUGGAAAUUCUAGAAGCAAAAAGGAUAAUAUCUAAAGUGAAAAAAAUCACUGGAUGGGCUUGGUAGUAGUAUGGAGAUGGUAGAAUAAAGACUCUGUGAAUUUGAGAACAGAUCAAUAGAAGUUACUUAAUCUGAAAAAACAGAAAAUUGUUUUUUUAAAAUAAGUCUCAGGUAACAGUGGUGUAAUAUCAUACUGUUUGUAAUUCAGUACUUAAAGAUCCAGAGAGGAGAAAGAGAGAAUGAGGCAGAAAAAAUUAUUGAGAGAAUAACAGUUGAAAGUUUCCCAGAUUUCAUUUCAAAAUAUCAAUCUACGGGUCCAAGAAGCUCAGGAAACCCCAAAAAAGAGAGAUAUAAAGAAAAAGCAUCUGGGCCAUUCUAGCCCAAAAACUAACAACCACAGAUGAAGAGAAAAUCUUCAAAGCAGCCAAAGAAAAAUGGCACAUUACAUACAAGGGAAUGAUUAUGUAAAUAAUGACUGUCUUCUAAUUAUAAACAAUACGGGCCAGAAAAUAAUAAAAUUACAACUUUAAAGUGAUAACAACAACAAAUACCUGUCAAAUCAGUGUUCAUG